CACGGAGUUAGCCGGGGCUUCUUCUCUCGGUACCGUCACUCCGAAGACGUAUUAGGUCUCCGGCCAUUCGUCCCGAUCGAAAGGAGUUUACGACCCGAAGAUCUUCAUCCUCCACGCGGCGUUGCGUCGUCAGGCUUGCGCCCAUUGCGAACAAUUCCCCA
rnacentral:rRNA from 1 species